AUUGAACGCUGGCGGCAGGCCUAACACAUGCAAGUCGAGCGAGCGGCGGACGGGUGAGUAAUGCCUAGGAAUCUGCCUGGUAGUGGGGGAUACCGUCCGGAAACGGGCGCUAAUACCGCAUACCAUCAGAUGAACCCAUAUGGGAUUAGAUUGUAGGUGAGGUAACGGCUCACCUAGGCGACGAUCCCUAGCUGGUCUGAGAGGAGGAUCAGCCACACUGGGACUGAGACACGGACCAGACGCCUACGGGAGGCAGCAGGGGGGAAUAUUGCACAAGGGGCGCAAGCCUGAUGCAGCCAUGCCGCGUGUAUGAAGAAGGCCUUCGGGUUGUAAAGGACUUUCAGUCGGGAGGCGUUACCGACAGAAGAAGCACCGGCUAACUCCGUGCCAGCAGCCGCGGUAAUAC
rnacentral:rRNA from 1 species